GAUAGUUCAGCUGGUAGAGCAUGAGACUCUUAAUCUUAAAUUUGUGGGUUCAAGACCAAUGUUCAGCA